rnacentral:rRNA from 1 species
ACGGGUGAGUAACACGUAAGGAACCUGCCUCAAGGAUUGGGAUAACUCCGAGAAAUCGGAGCUAAUACCGGAUAGUUCAUCGGACCGCAUGGUCCGCUGAUGAAAGGCGCUUCGGCGUCACCUUGAGAUGGCCUUGCGGUGCAUUAGCUAGUUGGUGGGGUAACGGCCCACCAAGGCGACGAUGCAUAGCCGACCUGAGAGGGUGAUCGGCCACACUGGGACUGAGACACGGCCCAGACUCCUACGGGAGGCAGCAGUAGGGAAUCUUCCACAAUGGACGAAAGUCUGAUGGAGCAACGCCGCGUGAGUGAUGAAGGUUUUCGGAUCGUAAAACUCUGUUGUAAGGGAGGAACACGUACGAGAGGAAAUGCUCGUACCUUGACGGUACCUUACGAGAAAGCCACGGCUAACUACGUGCCAGCAGCCGCGGUAAUACGUAGGUGGCAAGCGUUGUCCGGAAUUAUUGGGCGUAAAGCGCGCGCAGGCGGCCUUUUAAGUCUGAUGUGAAAGCCCCCGGCUCAACCGGGGAGGGCCAUUGGAAACUGGAAGGCUUGAGUACAGAAGAGAA